AUACCACGGUGAACUCCUGAGUUUCGGACAAUAAGCAAGAUUAACAUAGCAACCACUGUACCGGUCAUCCCUAGAGCAAGUGGCAAAGGGCUUGAUGGUUGGUACCCGAGACCUAAGUUCGAAUCCUUAUUGAUUCACAUUUCCAGCUAAAUUUAUUUCUAAAUGAAAUAAACGAAGCGGGUAGCGUGCUAUCUAUCUCUCAAAAAAAUAAAAAAAUAAAAAACAUAGCAACCACUGUAACAAGU
rnacentral:lncRNA from 1 species